rnacentral:rRNA from 1 species
CGACCGGCGCACGGGUGAGUAACGCGUAUCCAACCUGCCCUUCUCAUUGGGAUAGCCUUUCGAAAGAGAGAUUAAUACCGAAUAACAUAGUCAAGUUCCCUGAUUCGACUAUGAAAGCUGCGGCGGAGAAGGAUGGGGAUGCGUUCCAUUAGGUAGUAGGCGGGGUAACGGCCCACCUAGCCGACGAUGGAUAGGGGUUCUGAGAGGAAGGUCCCCCACAUUGGAACUGAGGCACGGUCCAAACUCCUACGGGAGGCAGCAGUGAGGAAUAUUGGUCAAUGGACGGAAGUCUGAACCAGCCAAGUAGCGUGAAGGAUGACUGCCCUAUGGGUUGUAAACUUCUUUUGCCGUAGAACAAAACCUGUCACGUGUGACAGUUUGCGUGUAUACGUUGAAUAAGCAUCGGCUAACUCCGUGCCAGCAGCCGCGGUAAUACGGAGGAUGCGAGCGUUAUCCGGAUUUAUUGGGUUUAAAGGGAGCGUAGGUGGUUUGAUAAGCCAGUUGUGAAAUACUGCCGCUCAACGGCAGCCGUGCAGUUGGAACUGUCAGACUUGAGUGUACGGGAGGAAAGUGGAAUUCGUGGUGUAACGGUGAAAUGUUUAGAUAUCACGAAGAACUCCAAUUGCGUAGGCAGCUUUCUACAGUACAACUGACACUGAUGCUCGAAAGUGCGGGUAUCGAACAGGAUUAGAAUACCCUGGUAGUCCGCACCGUAAACAAUGGAUACUCGCUGCCGGCGAUACACAGUCGGUGGCCAAGCGAAAGCAUUAAGUAUUCCACCUGGGGAGUACGCCGGCAACGGUGAAACUCAAAGGAAUUGACGGGGGCCCGCACAAGCGGAGGAACAUGUGGUUUAAUUCGAUGAUACGCGAGGAACCUUACCCGGGCUUAAAUUGCAGAGGACAGGCCAAGAGAUUGGCUCUUCUUCGGACCUCUGUGAAGGUGCUGCAUGGUUGUCGUCAGCUCGUGCCGUGAGGUGUCGGCUUAAGUGCCAUAACGAGCGCAACCCUUGCCAUUAGUUACUAACAGGUCAUGCUGAGGACUCUAGUGGGACUGCCAUCGUAAGAUGUGAGGAAGGUGGGGAUGACGUCAAAUCAGCACGGCCCUUACGUCCGGGGCUACACACGUGUUACAAUGGGAGGUACAGAAGGCUGCUACCCGGCGACGGGAUGCCAAUCCCCAAAACCUCUCUCAGUUCGGAUUGGAGUCUGCAACCCGACUCCAUGAAGCUGGAUUCGCUAGUAAUCGCGAAUCAGCCACGGCGCGGUGAAUACGUUCCCGGGCCUU